GUGGGCAGUUUGACUGGGGCGGUCGCCUCCUAAAGUGUAACGGAGGCGCCCAAAGGUUCCCUCAGAAUGGUUGGAAAUCAUUCGUAGAGUGCAAAGGCAUAAGGGAGCUUGACUGCGAGAACUACAAGUCGAGCAGGGACGAAAGUCGGGCUUAGUGAUCCGGUGGUUCCGCAUGGAAGGGCCAUCGCUCAACGGAUAAAAGCUACCCCGGGGAUAACAGGCUUAUCUCCCCCAAGAGUCC
rnacentral:rRNA from 1 species